CUGAUCAGGAGGGUCCCCCUACCCCUGAGGCUUCUGUCUGCUUCCAGGUGAACACAGAAGACUCAGCCUUCCCAGCAGCCCGGGGGGAGACCCACAAGCCCCUAAAGCCUGCACUCAAGAGGGGGCCCAGUGUCACCAGGAACCUCGGAGAGAGUCCCACAGGGAGCGCAGAGUCGGCAGGCAUCGCCCUCCGGAGCCUCUUCUGUGGCAGUCCACCCCCUGAGGCUGCUUCGGAGGUGAGUGGCUGGAGCCUGUCCUCCUAGCUUGCUUUUUCCCCAGCUCCCUCUCCAAUGCUGAGACCACGUCAUUAACCCUGCAGUGCCUGCCUCUAUUCUCCCUGCCCUUCGGCCCUCCCUGCUGUCAGCUCAGGUCCUGUGGCGUGCCCUUUCCCCUGGGCUCCACCACUUCCCCUCACCUCCCCUCUCCCUAUAACCUCAACUCCUCAUCUUUCUGGUUUGGCUCUAACAAAACUGAAGAAGUUGGAAUCCUGUGAGAAGCGCAAGCUGAAGCGUGUCCGAAUCUCCCUGGCAGUAAGUAUGCCUGCUCUUCUAGCAUCU
rnacentral:lncRNA from 1 species